rnacentral:rRNA from 1 species
GGGGGGGGGGGGGGGGGGGGGGGGGGGGGGGGGGGCGGGGGGGGGGGGGGGGGGGGGGGGGCUCGGAGGUUAGCGGCGGACGGGUGAGUAACGCGUGGAUAGCCUACCUGUAAGACUGGGAUAACGUCGGGAAACCGGAGCUAAUACCGGAUAAUAUUUUGACCCGCAUGGGUCAAACGUGAAAGACGGUCUUGCUGUCCCUGAUAGAUGGAUCCGCGCUGCAUUAGCUAGUUGGUAAGGUAACGGCUUACCAAGGCAACGAUGCAUAGCCGACCUGAGAGGGUGAUCGGCCACACUGGAACUGAGACACGGUCCAGACUCCUACGGGAGGCAGCAGUAGGGAAUCUUCCGCAAUGGGCGAAAGCCUGACGGAGCAACGCCGCGUGAGUGAUGAAGGUCUUCGGAUCGUAAAACUCUGUUAUUAGGGAAGAACAUAUGUGUAAGUAAAUGUGCACAUCUUGACGGUACCCAAUCAGAAAGCCACGGCUAACUACGUG